rnacentral:lncRNA from 1 species
UGAAGAUCCACGUUAGUCUGUGAUAUUAAAGUAUGAUGUCAAUUCUUUGAGCCUUUUGGGUUUCAAUAUGUAUAUUUAACAAUACAGGGGCUUCAGCAUAGGGUACACUACCUUAUGAAUGUAUGGGACUUUGGUUUUAUGACACAUAAAAAAGACAGUGCAUAUAUAACUGGUUAGUCCAGUAUAUAUACAUUUUAAAUAAUUAUGAUUCUAAAAGUGUGGUCUCCGAUGUUUGAAUAUAUUGUUUAAGCAAAAAUAGUCCUUGGAGCCGGGCGCGGUGGCUCACGCCUGUAAUCUCAGCACUUUGGGAGGCUGAGGAGGGUGGAUCAUGAGGUCAGGAGAUCGAGACCAUCCUGGCUAACACGGUGAAACCCCGUCUCUACUAAAAAUACAAAAAAUUAGCCGGGCGUGGUGGCUGGUGCCUGUAGUCCCAGCUACUCGGGAGGCUGAGGCAGGAGAAUGGUGUGAACCCGGGAGGCGGAGCUUGCAGUGAGCCGAGAUCGUGCCACUGCACUCCAGCCUAGGCGACAGGGCCAGACUCCCUCAAAAAAAAAAUAUAUAGUCCUUGGAAAGGUUGCAACGUGAUAGAAGAAGAGACACAGGAACCCUGUUUUGGAGACAAAUUUCCAUUCAGGGAAGAACUUUUACAGAUACUCACUGAAGAGUAUCUAAAAGCAUCAUGCUUGCACCUAUUUAUCUGUUCCCCGCCCCCACCCCGGUCUCCAUUGCCAAAUGAUGUCUUCAACCAAUCUUUGCAUAAACAGAAAAUGAAAGAGACCUAUAAUUUCUGUAUUUUGUCUUUUGAUUCCGACAGCAUUAUUAUUUUAGAAGAGAGGUCUAGAUCAACCGCUUUAAAAUGACACCAACAGAAGGGCAGUGAAGAAGGCAUUCUCGGAGGCUGCACAUUUCUGGAAGACAGCAUGACAGUAUGCCUCAAGUGCAAACAGUUUAUCCAUCUAUACAUAAUGAAACUAAAGAAGAUAAAGCUGUUUGUUCCUUGGGACAGUCUAAGAAUAAAUAAAAGACAAAAAAUUUUUCAAAAGGAAGAAAAAGAUCUUUCUUCUGCAGGCAAGGCUGGAGUGCUGGAGAACUUCCAUCUGCCCUCUAGAAGUACUUUCCACCCAGGGCUCUCUCCCCUCGUGGGCUACAAGAAUGGGCAAUUUUUCUCAACAUGACGUUUUGGAGAUUCAGUCAUAUUUGUGCUUCUCUCUGUCAUAUGUGCUUUUUCUUUGUUGGUACCAACAUGUGUACACUCCAUUCUAUAAGCAUGCCAUACUGUGUUCAUCCAUUUUCAUUUGAAUGGAUAUUUACAUUGAAAUUCAACUCCUAGAUAUAGACCUAAGAGAAAUGAGUGCAUAUAUACACAAAAGACUUGUACAAAUACAUUCACAGGAGCUUUAUACACAUACAUAAUAUAUGUAUAUCUAUCUAUCUAUCUAUCUAUCUAUCUAUCUAUCUAUCUAUCUAUA